rnacentral:tRNA from 1 species
UGAGUGUUUAUGCAUUUAUAAUUUUGGCUUAUAAGGAAGAAUUUACCUCUCUA